GAUGAACGCUGGCGGCGUGCCUAAUACAUGCAAGUCGAGCGAACAGACGAGGAGCUUGCUCCUUCGACGUUAGCGGCGGACGGGUGAGUAACACGUAGGUAACCUACCUAUAAGACUGGGAUAACUUCGGGAAACCGGAGCUAAUACCGGAUAAUAUUUCGAACCGCAUGGUUCGAUAGUGAAAGAUGGCUUUGCUAUCACUUAUAGAUGGAUCUGCGCCGUAUUAGCUAGUUGGUAAGGUAACGGCUUACCAAGGCAACGAUACGUAGCCGACCUGAGAGGGUGAUCGGCCACACUGGAACUGAGACACGGUCCAGACUCCUACGGGAGGCAGCAGUAGGGAAUCUUCCGCAAUGGGCGAAAGCCUGACGGAGCAACGCCGCGUGAGUGAUGAAGGUCUUCGGAUCGUAAAACUCUGUUAUUAGGGAAGAACAAACGUGUAAGUAACUGUGCACGUCUUGACGGUACCUAAUCAGAAAGCCACGGCUAACUACGUG
rnacentral:rRNA from 1 species